rnacentral:rRNA from 1 species
UACGGAGGGUGCGAGCGUUGUCCGGAAUCAUUGGGCGUAAAGGGCGCGUAGGUGGCCCGGUCAGUUCGUGGUGAAAGCGCGGGGCUCAACCCUGCGUCGGCCAUGAAUACUGCCGCGGCUAGAGCACUGUAGAGGCAGGCGGAAUUCCGGGUGUAGCGGUGGAAUGCGUAGAGAUCCGGAAGAACACCGGUGGCGAAGGCGGCCUGCUGGGCAGUUGCUGACACUGAGGCGCGACAGCGUGGGGAGCAAACAGG